rnacentral:rRNA from 1 species
UACGUAGGGUGCAAGCGUUGUCCGGAAUUAUUGGGCGUAAAGAGCUCGUAGGCGGUCUGUCGCGUCGGCUGUGAAAUCCCGAGGCUCAACCUCGGGCCUGCAGUCGAUACGGGCAAACUGGAGUGUUGCAGGGGAGACUGGAAUUCCUGGUGUAGCGGUGAAAUGCGCAGAUAUCAGGAGGAACACCGGUGGCGAAGGCGGGUCUCUGGGCAACAACUGACGCUGAGGAGCGAGAGCGUGGGGAGCAAACAGG